rnacentral:rRNA from 1 species
UACGUAGGUGGCAAGCGUUAUCCGGAAUUAUUGGGCGUAAAGAGCGCGCAGGUGGUUGAUUAAGUCUGAUGUGAAAGCCCACGGCUUAACCGUGGAGGGUCAUUGGAAACUGGUCGACUUGAGUGCAGAAGAGGGAAGUGGAAUUCCACGUGUAGCGGUGAAAUGCGUAGAGAUAUGGAGGAACACCAGUGGCGAAGGCGGCUUCCUGGUCUGUAACUGACACUGAGGCGCGAAAGCGUGGGGAGCAAACAGGAUUAGAUACCCGGGUA